rnacentral:rRNA from 1 species
UACGUAGGGUGCGAGCGUUGUCCGGAAUCAUUGGGCGUAAAGGGCGCGUAGGUGGCCCGGUCAGUUCGUGGUGAAAGCGCGGGGCUCAACUGCGGGGCUGGCAGUCGAUACGGGCAGGCUGGAGUUCGGUAGGGGAGACUGGAAUUCCUGGUGUAGCGGUGAAAUGCGCAGAUAUCAGGAGGAACACCGGUGGCGAAGGCGGGUCUCUGGGCCGAUACUGACGCUGAGGAGCGAAAGCGUGGGGAGCGAACAGG